rnacentral:lncRNA from 1 species
AAUUCUCAACCUAAGGGAAUACAAAUGAGUCUAUUUCUAGACCCUUCUCUCUAGAAAAAGGACUAUUUAGAAGUGGCUUAGCCAAAGAAGGUAGGGGGAAGCCCAAGAGGGACUCUUGCCCUUUGUUACAUCUGACCUACAUGGUCUGUGUAGGUAUGGCUUAUGCGGAAAAAUCUGCAUUACAGAUCAAUGAGAGCCCAUCAGCAUUUGGCAGAUGACAUAUGCAACAUAAUUAAUGAGCCCCUUGGAUGGAAAAAGAAGCUCUUAUUUAAAAAAAAAUAAUUUCCUUUAACUGAGUAUCUAUUAUAUGCAGAACACAGUCCUUGUCCAUGGGUGAUGCAGUAAGGGAGGAAAAAUAUUGAAUAGAAAUUUGAGAAGUAGAGAGGCUAAGAAUGACAUCUCCACCCAUCAUAAUGGGAUAGUAUUAUCCGAUUCCUAGGAGGAAAUCGGUAAAUCUGAGCUCUGGCCCAGCACUGAGUGACCUUGGACUAAUUAUUUAGCCUUUCUAGUCAUCAAUUUCUCUGUUUCCAAAAUGUUUCUUUUAGCUUUAACACCCUCUGGCCACUACGACUUGGCUAGAAGCUCAAAGAACUCUAGUGGAAGGUGGAAUAUGAUAAAUACAUAGAGGCACAAAGCAUAUGCUGCAAGAGUCCAGUGGAGGGAGUGCUUGGCUUUGAAAAUAAGGAAGACCUUUGGAGGAGGAGCUUUUGAGCUAAGCCCGUCAAGAUUUCCCUUCUCCAGGCCACAAACCAAUGCUAUAUUUGCUUGGUUAGCUACAGGUUGUGCCCUCCACCUGUUUUCAUUUAGGAAGCAGGUUAUAAUGACAGAAUUGGAUUUGCCUUCUCUCUGCCAUGUUUACUGGCCAGCUGUAGCAGGAGGAGCUGAAGAGGAAGGCUGGGGAGUCCAUCUUCCUUGUCCUAGCAGCUCAGAAUUGCACUUUCCCAUCUAGACUCCACCUGUUGUGGUUAUUGGGACUGUGGUCAGGAUACCAGGGACCUUAGGUCAAUGGAGAAGCAGGGGCUUGGAGACCAGUGUUACGUUUCCUGUCUAGGAGGAAGUUCUGGGAACCCUUGGAAGAAAUUAAUGGACAGAGAGCAUCUCCUAUAAUCAUGGGCAGAGACUCCAAAACCCCCAGGUCUGCUAUGGCAAGAGGCACAUGGGUGAAGAUAGCAGAGAAGGAGAUGUGGAGGAAAGGACCAGGGUGGGUGAUAUAACCUGGUGACUUUUCUCUGUCCCAUGAAGGUUCUAGAGGAGAUCCUUUGAAAACGGACGACUCCUCUGGCAGAGGUCUUUUGUUUGCUCCUGUUGUCCAUGCCCCAGAAGUAGGUUUGGAAAAAUAAUUCAGGUUGCUGGGAGGUGGUAGGAAUAAUGUAUUUUUCUUCACACUGAAAUGAGAGUAUCAGUUUUAGUAUAGACUAGCAUUACAAUUAAAAAAUUUAAGCUAAAAACCUCCAGCUGGAGAAACCAGAAGGAAAAGCAAUAAUCCAAUUUAAAUAGUAAGCCACAGAGAUGGCUAUAUCAGAACCACCACCACUCUCCUCCCAACCCCAACCAGCCUGCUACGUUCAAUUGAAGCAUUGACCAGAGUUUGGGAAGAGGGGGUCCUUGCAGUGAGCCAUAUUGAUCCUGGUUGCAAGCCUCCCCAUCCUGUUACUAUUGGCUUAGAUAGCAAAUCCUAGGAGCCUUGCAGAUUGCACCAGCAUAGCCGGUUGACUUCCCUUCUUUUGACCCAGACUAGGAGCAAAGGAAGGAAACUGGCUGGUGAGGGGAACUCUGCACCCCUCACCCCAUGUUCAGACUUUCCUGCAACAAAUACAGGUUCCUUGUUCCCAUGUGGAAUGUGUUCCCCCAACUAGAAUGAGAAACAGAAGGGGUCAUUUCAAGGCCGGCAAGUAACACAAAUAAAAAUGCCAUUUACCAUCCACUCUGCAGUCUUUGGCUGCCUGUCUCUUUUCCUGGUUCAUCAGUGGCACAUGUGAUUCUUGGUGCUCUGAAUGGCCAAUGACUUCCUGUUUUCUUGGCCAGGCUAUAAGGAUGAAGUCAUGUUGAUUCUAAGCCAACACUCAUGGUUCUCAGUGGACAGACAUGGACAUCUAUCUGUCCUCAUCAAUCUAGACUCGGUGCUAUUUGUGGUUAAUGGUGCCUAUGUCAUUCUCUCUGUCUCUCUCUCUCUCUCUCUGUCUGUCUCUCUCUCUUUUUUCCCCUAAUGCAUUGCUACCAAGAAAUCAUAUUAGAGAGACACAUUUCCAUGUAGGGUUUUCCUUAGCACAAGAUUUUUGUCCUUAUUCUCACUUUUUUAGGACGGCUUGGUGUCCAAUGUCUGAGUCCUUCCCCUUCCUUUUCUUUUUAAACCUGAAAAUGUUUUCCUUUCUUAGUACCCAAAAAGAAAUUGCAGUAAAACGGGCCACGUCAGGCUCUUUCUUCCUAUUCUCCUUAUUGAGUUGAAAUGAACAGAUGUACAUGGGUUGGGAUAAUUUUGGAAUCAGUUUUUCCAGGGUCCUUGCUAUAGAUGAAGGACUUUUCUGUUUCCCCACCAUGGCGAGGUCAGGGCGGUGACAACAAACAAUUUAACUUCUUGAAACCUUGUGGUGCCUUCUCUUGUGGUGCUUCUCUCUUGUGUAACUCCAGUCAAGGCGGCCACUUGCAGCAAACAGCAAUGCCAGUACUAUUCCUUGGUAUUAUGUGCCAGUGCAGUAAAAGACUUUAAUAUAUACAUAUAUAAAUAGAUAUAGAGAUAGAGAUAUCACUAUAGUUAUAUAAUUAUAUAAUUGAGGUUCUGAUGCAGCUUUGGUGGAGUUGAUCAUUCCUCUGCAAAAAUCGAUGCUACUCAACUGGAAAUAACAGCUCUGUGGAGCGUUUUGACUUUGGGGAAGGGCACCCACAAAAGAAAUGGGUUACUCCUACGACAAGUUUGCUUCUCCCUUCUUGUGAAAGUUGCUGUCUCCAUAUCAUGGGAUAUUGGAUAAGGGAGCAAAGAGCAGCUUCUUUUGAACUUCCUUUGGUGCUGAUAUUUUUUAAAAAAUGUUUGUUUGUUUUGCUUCCUCAUCAGUGGCCAAUCAGUUGAUUUUCCAAAAUCUCAACUCCCCAAUUAAAGUUGAUGAGGAAUAGUUUGGGAAUAAGAGGCUAGAGGCUGGGCAUCCCCAACCCUGUUUCUUAACCCAGACAGUUUCCUCCAUGACCUGUAUCCGUCUCCCAGACUCAGUCUCCCCAUCUAAAAUGGACAUCAUAUUUCCUGACCUCAUGGGGAAGGAUAACCUAAAAGGAUUCAUUGGUGGCACUGAAAAACACUAAAUCAUUAUUAAUUUGGAGACGGCAACUUGACAUAUUUUUAAGAUUUUAUUUGUAUGUUGCUGAGACUUUAAUCUUGGGGUUCUGUUUUGUUUCCCUCUUGCUCCUCCAUCUCCACCGUGCUGUAUGUCCUCCCUUUGGCAAUACCUUUGAGAACUGUGUAACUGAUUGGGAUUCACCUGAGAUGUUGGGUAGUGCUAAUUUCUCCCAAGGGAACAACAUCACUAAUACUGUAUAAGGUGCUAGAAUCAAACCUCAUUUUAUAAACUUUGGUUCUUAGAGAAAAACAAAACAUGCAGAAUUCUUUCUGUGAAGCCUUACUAUAGAUUGUUAUAGCCAAUUGUUUAUCCAAAAAGAGAGAGAGCAUAGAAAAAAAGAUAAGAUGCAGUGGUUCUGUAUAAAAUGUAACUAAAAGACCUCUGCUAUUUCCUAUAUUAAUGUAAACUAUCAUAUAUAUAUAUGUGUGUAUAUAUAUAUAUAUAUAUAUAUGCUUGAGGCAGAUAGAAAGGAUGAAAAUAUGUAAAGUCUGUUCAUCUUUGUUUUAAUUUUUCAAUUGACUCACAGUUUUUAGUAUGUGAGCAAGAGAGGUUUAUGGUGGGUUGGGAUAAGAGAUGCCCAGUAUGAUAUACGCAACUAAUCACAUUUCUGUUCUGCUCUAUAUGUGACUAGAAGGAGUUGGUCAAAUGAGAUGAAGGGGAAAUGAAUUAAAAUGCAGGUGUGCUUUCUAAAUGUCCUUGAGCAUCGAUGUUACACUUUGGUGUUGUUUCCUCCUUAUUGUAAAGUUUCUUGACGGCACUGUAAAACGUGUCUGCUGCCUAAGGUGUUAGCAAAUGAUGUUUACCUCAAGAAAGCUUAAAAAAAAAAAAGAGGCAGUUGGUUUUUCCUAUCUCUUAAAAAUGAGUAUGCGCAUAACCAAAAUGCGAGGCAUUGCCACAGAAGUUCAGUGAGAAUACAGAACCAUUUCCGGUGCUUUCCCCGAAGCCUCCUCCCCCAACCCACCACCCCGUUGUCACCCACCCCUUUCCUUGCUAAAGAAAGAAAUAAUCCAAAAGAUGAGUUUUGAUGAGAAAUGGGGUCAGGAUGUAGCACAAGGGUAAUGGUGGAUGCAAACUUUGCACGGAACAAGUGGUGAGGGGUCGUUUUCAAGUAUGGCUGUGUAAUUCAGGUGUUUAACACUAGCAUGUGUGUGUGUGUACUGUAUAUAUGUGUCAAUGUAUGACAUGUUUGGUGGACAGAGAAAAAUAUCGUGAA